UUGACUAGUGGGGGGGGAAAACUUCCCUUUCCUUCGGGACUACUUACAAGGUGCUGCAUGGUUGUCGUCAGCUCGUGCCGUGAGGUGUCGGGUUAAGUCCCAUAACGAGCGCAACCCCUAUUGUUAGUUGCCAGCAAGUAAAGUUGGGGACUCUAGCGAGACUGCCGGUGUAAACCGUGAGGAAGUGGGGAUGACGUCAAAUCAGCACGGCCCUUAUAUCCAGGGCUACACACGUGUUACAAUGGUCGGUACAAAGAGCAGCCACUUGGUGACAAGGCGCUAAUCUCAAAAGCCGAUCUCAGUUCGGAUCGAAGUCUGCAACCCGACUUCGUGAAGUUGGAUUCGCUAGUAAUCGCGCAUCAGCCAUGGCGCGGUGAAUACGUUCCCGGGCCUU
rnacentral:rRNA from 1 species